CUGGAGGUUGAUGGACUAAAUCUACUAAUUUAAGUGGUGGACUUAAGUUUGACAGUUUCUUGUACUGGAUUACAGUUCUAUAAGGAUACUUCCACCCUUCUGACUCUCUUUACAUGUGCUCAGAUAGCAGCGAUAUUGAAAAAUGCAGGGUAUCUGAGCAGGAGUUACUGAACAGCCAAAAUGCAUUCCUGAAUUUGGUAAGGCUGAACCAGAUCAGAUCAAAAUCUCUGGGAUACCUUUUCUGAUUUUCAUCUGGAGAGUGGAAGCUAAUGACAACAGUUGCACCUCAAUCCUCCUUGAGGAUGUCCUUCUUGGAUAGAAACAUAAAAAACCUACAGCACAAUACAGGCCCUUUGGCUCACAAAGUUUAUGGAUGUUGCCAUAAAAACUGAAGAUAAAAACCUGCCUGAUGAAAAUCUAAACUAAAAUACUGAAGAUACUCAGGCAGCAUCUAAGAUAACAGAAACGAUGCUGUCUGAACUGCUGAGAUCCUCUACCAUUUUGUGUGAGUUGCCCUGGAGUUCCA